rnacentral:rRNA from 1 species
GAUGAACGCUAGCGGCAGGCUUAACACAUGCAAGUCGAGGGGUAUAUGUCUUCGGAUAUAGAGACCGGCGCACGGGUGCGUAACGCGUAUGCAAUCUACCUUUUACAGGGGAAUAGCCCCAGAGAAAUUUGGAUUAAUGCCCCAUAGUAUAAUUGAAUGGCAUCAUUUAAUUAUUAAAGUCACAACGGUAAAAGAUGAGCAUGCGUCCCAUUAGUUAGUUGGUAAGGUAACGGCUUACCAAGACAAUGAUGGGUAGGGGUCCUGAGAGGGAGAUCCCCCACACUGGUACUGAGACACGGACCAGACUCCUACGGGAGGCAGCAGUGAGGAAUAUUGGACAAUGGGCGCAAGCCUGAUCCAGCCAUGCCGCGUGCAGGAUGACGGUCCUAUGGAUUGUAAACUGCUUUUGUACAGGAAGAAACACUACUUCGUGAAGUAGCUUGACGGUACUGUAAGAAUAAGGAUCGGCUAACUCCGUGCCAGCAGCCGG